AGGGGCACCUCGGUGGCUCAGUUGGUUAAGCUUCUGACUUGGGCUCAGGUCAUGAUUUCGGGGUCCUUGAGUUCAAGUCUGGCUCUGACCUGUCAGCA